rnacentral:rRNA from 1 species
UACGAAGGGGGCUAGCGUUGCUCGGAAUCACUGGGCGUAAAGGGUGCGCAGGCGGGGCUUUAAGUCAGGGGUGAAAUCCUGGAGCUCAACUCCAGAACUGCCUUUGAUACUGAGGAUCUUGAGUACGGGAGAGGUGAGUGGAACUGCGAGUGUAGAGGUGAAAUUCGUAGAUAUUCGCAAGAACACCAGUGGCGAAGGCGGCUCACUGGCCCGUAACUGACGCUGAGGCACGAAAGCGUGGGGAGCAAACAGG